CAGAGUUACCAAACUCCAAAACCCAUGUGAACUUACCAGUUUGUUGCCUCGGCAGGCCUCCGCGUAUCGUCUCCGGGCGGGCGCGGGUACCACGGGCCUGCCGGCGGUCCCAUUAAACUCAUGAAUUACCCUGUAAAUCUGAGCGUUUAUAACAAAUAAGUUA
rnacentral:misc_RNA from 1 species